rnacentral:lncRNA from 1 species
UUGAUAGUCAAGAUGCAAUAGGUAGGGCAUGGAGAAUGAAGUAUAACGGAAAGUCUAGUCAUAUAGGACAUAGACAAGAUACCGUUAGAAAACUACUCUCUAGUGGAAUUAUCAGAAUUGACUAUGUAAAGUCAAAGGAUAAUGUGUCGGAUCCACUUACAAAAAGGCCUAACUAGAGAGAAAGUUUAAAGAUCAUCUAAGGGAAUGGGUUUACGGCUUAGGACAAGUCAUCAUGGCGGUAACUCUAUCUAGCAGACUGGAGAUCCCAAGAGCUAGAUUCAAGGAGAAAAACAAAGUUG